rnacentral:lncRNA from 1 species
UCUCCUCCGCCAACACCACUCCUAACUGUAACCUCCCCUCCGCCGUUACUCCGCCGCUGGAAGCAGACUCCGGUUGCGAUUGUCCUCCUUCGUUUCUGGAGUUGGAGAGUAGAGAACCGAGCUGGUGACUAUCACUAUUGCGUUUGAGGCGGAGCUUUUCGCGUAGAGACUUCCAAGCGGUCUUGUCUCGGUGGCUGCUGUAGUCGUGUCGGUGCUCUCUCUGCAUUACAUCAAGAAGUGUCCGAUUUGAUUGGUUCCUAGACGGCAGAGGCUGCGGCGGGGUUCCGUUUCUGUCGGCCAUUAGAAUAGCUUCGAGAGUCAACCCCGGUAACGAGCUCCGGCCAGUCUCCAUACAAUCUAGUAACGUCACUCUCAGCCUAUCACCACCGUCCAUUUGCAUCAUCUUUUACGGAGUCAAGAGAGAAUAUAGAAUGAGAUUGUGAACUGAAAAACGCAUAUUCAGGACAUAUGCUUUCUACAAGAUACAUGUGGCAAAGAAGCUACAUAUAUGCUGCAUCUAUUGAAACGCUAAAUUAAGCUAACAAUGAAGAAGGUUAAGAGAGAGAGAGAGAGAGAGUCAUACUUAUCCAGUGAACAAAGUGGGGCUCAGUGAAGUAACGGUAGAUCCAGUUUAGGAUGUACAAUCCCCUGUACCCACUGCAAGAAGAUGACAAUCAAGAGAAGUCAAAGGAAGAAGAAGCAAUAACACUAAUCAAAGAAAGCGAGCUUGUUGUACCCAAGGAGAAAAAUGUAUUGGCCAGUCAAGUUAUCGAUAUUUCUAGUCCUUUGCAGCAAGACAAGCUGAGGUAAUAUAGCAACAGCUUCCAAGUACAAUGAAAACGUCCAGAGCACCUCAAGAAAGGUGAACUUCUCGUGGAUGAGAAGAGCCAAGACAAGGCAAGGAAGCACAAGGAACCAGUGGCGAAACGUAUCCUGCUCCCUGUCGUAAGUCCUGUGGACAGCCUUAUGGUACCUCAUGUACCAGACAAUCGAAAAGGAGCUCCCUAAGAAGACCAGCUUCAUGAAGGUGUUGUAGACAGACACGAAGCUCGUGAAAAUGUCCAAGUAACGCGUAGCGAACACAAUGGCGUAGAGCUCUUGCGUCCUCAAUGACACACCUGCAAGUUAAUUAACCGUUACAAACGAAUCAUUCAGAUCAUACGGUCAACGUCAAUUUUAACCUAAACUUAUCAUCGGAAUGGGAAAUGAAGAUACCGGCGCAGGAUUUGAUGGUGUGGAUCUUGAGGAGCAAGACGAGAACACUGGCCAGGUGAGUCAUAUCACCUGCUAAUCUGAAAAUGUUCAUCUUCUUUCGAUCUCUCUCUUCUUCCUUCUCUACACCACAAUCCGGGUUCGGCUCGUGCUAAGAUAGAUCUCGUUGGUGCCGUUUCCACAAACUUCUUCUCCCGUGUUUUUGCUUUUUUUCCCUCUGGUAAUGAAAGCCCAUUACUUCUCGUUGUGGGCUUUGUUCUUUUGGGUAACGAUAUCUUAUUACCCUACCCGAUUUUAUCGGUUUCAUACCUAACCGGUGUGUAUUUUGAUUAACCGAAAAUAAAAUAUACUUGCGUUUUAUUACCUGCCUUGUAAAUCUUCAAAACACGGUUUCAAUAUCAAACAAUUCUAUCACUAUAACCUGUUUGAUUUUCUCUGUGUCAACUGGUUACAUAGCAUAAUUAAGAACAAACUGGAUUGCAAAAUGGCUAUAUCCUAUAUGUUGUGAAUAAUGUCGAAUAAAUCAAAAAUAAAAUUCAAACUACUAUGGCUGAAAUUCAUUAUCAUACUAGCUAGUUUGAAUCGAUUUUGAUCUGAUUUUACAUAUAGUCAAGCAGAUAUCUAGAUACAAAAGAUCUAAUCAGAAUAUCCUACAUCGAUAUAUUAAAUAAAAAAUACAGUUUUUACCCUAUACAAAAUAUGGCAAUUCUCCUAAAACACAAGUUUUUAUCAAACACACAAGAAAAUGAUCAAAAUGUCAUUCAGUGAAGAGCAAAAAAUACUAAGUAAUCUUAAUAAUAAUACAUUUAAUAUAGCUACAAAUAUAAAAAUAUUUUUAUUUUAAAUUUUAUACCAUAGAUGUUAGAGCCAUUUGCACAGAAAAUAGUCAAUAAUUAUGAAAUUUGCAAGGAUAGAAAAGGGUAGUGGAAUCCAACAUUAGUAGGUCUAAAAUACACUGAUGGCCCUAUUAUUCAUUUUGUUAUGUUAAGAGGCAAGAGAAUCCCGUAGAAAUGAUUUUCUUAUGCAAAAAAAAUAGUAGACCCCACUAUUCAAGAAAUAUUAUUUUAUUUAAAAUAUUAUUCUGUUUUCUUUCUUCUCUUGUUUUACUUUUCUCUCAUUUUCUCAAUUUUCUUUAUUAGCUUUCAUAAUCUUCUUAUUUCAACUAUAAUAUUUACUAUUAUUACCAUAUGUAAUCUGUUCACAUAGCUUGCUAACAACGUUAUCUAUCCCGUCUAAUAAAAUAUAUAACCGUCUAUUAUAUUUGGUGCUCAUAUAGCUUGCUAACAAAAUAUGAACCAUUUAAUAAAAUACGAGGGUGUCUAAUAAAAUAUGUAACUGUCGAAUGACCCACUUGGCUACAUCGCACGAUUGAAAGAUUUGGGGUUGAUUCGCGAGGAUGUUUCUGUAAGUCUAAAAUGUUUGGGGUCAAAUUGAAAAGAACUAGAACGCCAGGGACAUGUCGUGCAAAAAAAUAGAAAGUCACCAUUGGAUAGAUCAACCUUUCUCUUCGCCGGAUCUUGAGCUUGAUGGAGAUGGCAAGGAGGAGCACGAUGGCAGUGCUUGAAUCCGAGCAUGACGACGUCGGUAGAGCAAAGCGACUAAAGAUCCGGUGACGAAGGAGUACGCCGUGUAAAUUUUGCAGCGGUCUCGCGACGGUCUCGACGUAAACAUAGGUGGAAGGUGAAGCACCGUCGUGAAGGGAUAAGCUUGACGGCGUACAUUCUGACGCGGCAGUGGAUGGAAGAAGUCGGAGCUCAGGUUCAUGGCGAGUCGGAGGUGGUUGCAGAAGAGGACAAGUGAAUCGAUGUGAAUUUUAAAUGAUUUCCGAUGUAGAUAUAAAAGAAGGUUAAAAGUUUCAACGGAGAACACAUUGUGGACUUACAAACAUAGCGGAGAAUAGGGGAUCAGGUGGACUUCAUAAUCUUUUAACUAAGAGUUUGACGGAGAAAACAAUGUGCAUUUUUUAGAUGAAAAAAGAUGUAAGAGAAGAAGAACUGAAGAGUAUCGAUUAGUGUGAACAUGCAACAACUCUUUGUUGUACAUGUUGCGUAUUAUAGGUUAGGUAGGUGUUUAUUAGACCAAUAUAAUAUACGUUGUAUUGUAGCAGGAAUAGGGAUAGAAAUGUCAUUUAAAAAAAACACAUCAGCAAGAAAAACCAACUUCCAUCUGUGCAAAUUAUGGGGUUAUGUUUGUAGACGGAGUGCAGUUACUAUAAAUUUUAAACCCUACACUCUAAACUCUAAAUCAUAAACCUCCAUCCACAAAAAAACUAAAUCAUAAUUCUCAACCAAUUAACCUUAGUGGUAUGUAUAUAUUUAUAUAUUUUAAUGAAUGCUAGUAUGAUCAUUUUUCUUUUUUAUCUGUGUUAUUUUUAUGUCAUUAUGGCGGUAUUUCUCUUGUUUUAUUAUUCAAAAAUAUAAUUUUAUAUAUAGUUUAUUUAUUAAUUUAAACUUAUCUUGCAUUUUUACGGUCUUAAUAUUUUAUAAAUAAAAUGAUCUAAUUUUUUUUUCAAUCUGUCUUUUACUUGAUAUAUAUUUUACGUAUUUGAUCGUACAAUAAGCAAAAUAGUAAUCAUAUAAAAAUCAAUAAAAAUAUAAUUAUCAUUUAUUAGAAAUGGAUAUAUUAAAUAUCAUAUUUUCAUUUUCAUUAUGUAUAUUAAUUGAAUUAAUAAUAAUUUAAUACUAAAUACAAAUUAUGUAAUUAAUUAAAAGUACAUAUUAAAAUUAUUAAUAUAAUUCAAAGACAUAUUCAUUCAAAAUUUCCAAUAGAUUUUGAAAUAUUUUUAUUAAGAUAAAAUGUAUAAAAAUAUUAGAGUAUCUUUUUAUUAAAUUUGAAACGAAAAAUAUUCAAAUUUUACAUAGCCGGAUUAUCAUGAUAAUAUCUUUACUUUUUUCAAAAUGGAUAGUUACAUGGACAAGUACAAGUAGGAUAAUGUGAGAGGGAAGUGUUGCCAUAACUUCACAACAAAUUGUAUGGUAUGUUGUAGGCUUGUAUUUAGAUAGUAAUUCAAAAGACAUUUAUGGAGUAUAUAUGUGUAAAAAUAAUUUAUAUGGAGUUCUAAUUUAUGCAUUGUGGUUCUAGUUUAAAUAUGCAUAUCAUUGUUAUUUGAACAUCAAAAUUUGGUUUUUGGUGAUUCUAAUUUAUGCAUUAUUAUUGUUUGCAAUUGCAUAGUUGGCAGCAAUAAAGUGAAUGUCAAAUGUCUGAAUGGUUCUGUUGCAGGCUGGGAUCCAGACUACUCAAUGGCUAGACUGAGAUUCAAGAGAUCGGACUGGACAGGACGAACGAAUGGAAAAGGGAGCGGCUAGAUGGAUGCGAUGGAGAGAGGAUCGGCCGGUUUGUACCUGAAAUAAGAGAGAAUGAUUUUUAUGAGUUUUUUUAUGGAUUAAAAAUGAAGAACAUAAAGUAAAUUAACUGAGAAAUAAAGAACAAAAAUAAAUAUGAAUUUUUAUGGGUUUUUAUUUUAAUGGCCGAUCUGAAAUAAAAGAUGCAAUGAAACAAAAACAAGAGAAGGAUAGAGAUGGCUGAUGGAUUCAAGUUGCUGGACGUGUGUCUCUCUCAACAAGAACAGGGGAUGGAGAUGGCGUGAAGAUGGGAUCUGGCUUGCUGGACUGAAGUCUCUCUCAAGAUGGAUCGGUGGAUGGUAUGGCAUGAGGAAUCGCCACAAGCUUGGUGGUGGAAAGCUUGAUGAGAUUCGAGAUUGCUUCUAGCCAAAUCGCUCAACAAGAAGACUUAAGAAUUUUCUUUGCUCUAGGGGCAAACCGACUCAUAUAUUUCAUGAACUAAAAAAAUUACAAGGCUGCUUAUAGUGGGGAUUAAAUACCCUGCUGCUAUGCCCUUCUAGGGGACUUUGAAGCAAAUCAACAUGGACUCUCUUGGACUCUAAAAAUCGACAAGGCCUAGACAAGAAUGGGCCGACUCUUCUUGGACAACUAAAGCAAAGGCUAAACAAAUGGCUUUGAAUUAUUGGACUCAAAUAAAUAAAAAGGACUUAAACAAUUUGCCCAUAAGUUCAUGCAAUUGAAAUUAAAAGAAAGAACCAACACAAACCAAAAACAAUAAACCGGUUAGAAAUCAUAAAUGAAAUCUUACCUUCUUACCUUAAAUGGAAUGGGGCGGAUUACUCAGAACCGGCUGGGAUUGGGACAGGGUCUGAACCGAGUUCACAUGUAGAGAUGGUUAGGCCGGUUCGGUUCUGGGCGAGUGAUCUGAAUUGGAUUGGACCGGCUUGAUCUUGAACCUCUAUUGGACCGGCUUGAUCUUGAAUCUUCAAUUGGAUCAUCUCUUCAAUUAGUAACUCUUCCUGACCGGUUUGAACAUUUUGAUCAAGGAUUUGUUGGACAGCUUUAGAGAAACCGAGUCUUAUGGCCCUGGCUCCACUCCGGGUAGUCGGACCACACCUAACCACGGGAACCUCUAUUUGGAUGGCCGCAUCAGGUUCGGAGAUUUUCGUAUUAAUAAUCAAACAUAUAAAAUAGUUUGGCAAUUACAAAAAGUAAAGAGAUUGUUUAAACAAGGUCAUCUAAACAAAGUCUUUUUGAUGGGAUUUAAGAUCGUCAAAAGGGGAUCUCCUCUCAAGAGAAGAGGUUGUCCAUGAUGAAUAUUUGUGGUGGUGGUCGAUGUUGACGAUCUCUAAAUGUAGAAUGUUUAUACGAUUAUGCUUUUGAAUGAAUAGUGAUAGUUUUUCACGUAAACACGAUUUGUCAGUCAACAAGGUAUAUUUUCUUAUAUAGGUUGGGCUUGGUUUUGGUUCUAACAUUCUAAUGAGUCGUGUGUUAGAAUAAUCUCCAACAACUAUGAUCAUUUGGAAUGUUGUAAAUACUGAAAGCAUUCUUGUAUAUUUUUCAGUGAGAACUCGAAUUAGUGAAAUAUUCCUAAGUGGUGAUGCAAUGCAAGGUAAUGUUUUCGGACAUAUUCUAGUAAAUGAUGAGGACCAUGAGGUUGGUUUCAUGGGAAGAAGUUAAUGAUAGUUAAGAUAUGUUAUUGGUGUCAAAAUAAUCUCCGAGCCCAGAAAAAAUUGAGAAGGCUCAAGCGGAGCUUGGGUAUUUAACAUUGAUACUCCUUUAUGCGAUGUUCAAAGUAAACACUUCAAUUUUCUAAAGCUAUCAGUUAACUCAAAUGUGUACCAAAGACACUUGUCUUAACACGCAGCAAGUAGAGUUGUUAACCAGUGUACCUCUCAGUUAGGUGAUUGUUGGUAGCCAUAAGUAUAGUCGGAAGAUUGUUCACGUCUUGAACGACCACAUAUGGAACCUCUUCCAACACACAUCAGUGACAGCAGAAUUAAAUAUGCAAUUUAUGGUCAACCAUAAAUUGUUUUCCUCUCUCAACUCCUCCAUUGUACUUUGAUUGCCAUAUUACCAAAUGUAAAAGAUAGAUGGGUUGGUGAAGUUUUUAAUAAGAUGAUUUAUGUGAAUAAAGUGUAACUUUUGGUUCAUGAAUGUAAAUAAUUCAAUUUCUUUUCCCAGUAUGUUUUUCAAUUUAACUUAAACUCUUGAUUAGUCUCUUCUAUUUAGUGGUAAUAGUUUAACUUAACAUUUUCUGGAAAAAUAACAGAAAAACGGUUAACACUUCCAAGAAUCUGAGAGAGAGAGAAUUCGACAAAGAGUUUCUCUUCAGUUUUCAACAACACAUUACAACAAGACAUAAAACAACCUAAAUAUGAUAAUUAAAAGUGAAAAGAAAAUGACUAAAAGAGAUCAAGGAUUUCUGAAAUGGAGGUGUUGCAUAGAGGACAGUUUCCUCUUUGAACCCAAAGCUCUCUCGAACACAACCUGCAGAACGUAUGACCACACGGUAUAAACGCUGCUCCUUUGCUUCUUACCAUACAAACACAACAACUUAUCUCCGCCGCCGCCGCAGUCUCCUCCACCACUCCUCUCUCCUCUUCCUCCCCGUCUCCUCCUACUUCUACCAAGCUCAUUUGCCCUUCGUUCUCAUCCAACAACUCCAUCAACGACAUCCUCGCCGGCUGCAUGUCUGUCGUCACCGGCGGCGUUUCCUCUUCCCUCGCUGAUAACGCUCUCUCCUCCGCCAACACCACUCCUAACUGUAACCUCCCCUCCGCCGUUACUCCGCCGCUGGAAGCAGACUCCGGUUGCGAUUGUCCUCCUUCGUUUCUGGAGUUGGAGAGUAGAGAACCGAGCUGGUGACUAUCACUAUUGCGUUUGAGGCGGAGCUUUUCGCGUAGAGACUUCCAAGCGGUCUUGUCUCGGUGGCUGCUGUAGUCGUGUCGGUGCUCUCUCUGCAUUACAUCAAGAAGUGUCCGAUUUGAUUGGUUCCUAGACGGCAGAGGCUGCGGCGAGGUUCCGUUUCUGUCGGCCAUUAGAAUAGCUUCGAGAGUCAACCCCGGUAACGAGCUCCGGCCAGUCUCCAUACAAUCUAGUAACGUCACUCUCAGCCUAUCACCACCGUCCAUUUGCAUCAUCUUUUACGGAGUCAAGAGAGAAUAUAGAAUGAGAUUGUGAACUGAAAGACCACGAAAAAUAGCGUUAAAAACAAAAUCGAAGAUUUUCUCGGGAUAAUCAACGAGUGGAAUAAACUUAGUAAUCUCAGCUUCCCUAACUCAGCUAUCUAGGAAACUGAAAUCCAAGCUAAAAGAAUCAGUAUAUCAACCCCUAGAUGAAAUCUUCCCGAGAAAAAAAAAUUUCCAUGAAAAAACAUUCAAAAAUUAAAAUCUUGCUAUUAAAAGAAUGAAUUUUGCUAACCUUUUAAUUCGGACUCAUUUUACUAUUCUCAGCUUCAAAGAAAACCAUAGUUUCCUGAGAAAAUUUCUAGAGUUUCUUACACUGAACAGAUGAACACUUUGGCUUUCUUCGUUUGCAGCAGAAUCCGAAAUCCAAGAGCAGAUCUGUAAUAAAUAGAAUAUACUUUUAAAUUAUUCUGGCAAAGAGAGAGAGAGAGAGAUUAAUUCCGAUUCUUCUACUUUUUUAAAGAUCAGUGUCAGACAGCAAUCAUAUUACUUCACAGAAGAAUAUAUAUAUGUAUAUCUACAGACUACAGAUAGCUUCUUUUUUUUGGAGAACUACAAAUAGCUUUAUUUACAUAACAUGAUUGAUACCUUUGAAGUUGAACUCUUUUCUUCUCGCUUUAUCUUUAUGUGAAAGAAGGAGAGCAUAUGAAAAAAAAGAAGGAGAGCAUAUCUUUAUCUUCUAGGUUCACCAGCCAAAAAGAUUUCAUUAUUUCAAAUUCGAUAUCUUUAAAAAAAUAAAUAAAAUACUAUUAAGUUAUAUUAUAUUUUUUAAAUAAAAAAAAUAAAAAAAAAUAGCAGUUACAGAAAAUAAAAUUAAAAAAAAUCUUUUUAACGUCGUCAGCAAAACACUAAACCCUAAAUCAUAAUCCAUAAAUCCUAAAUCCUAAAUCCUAAACCCUAAACCUUUGGGUAAACCUAAACCCUUGGGUAAACCUUAAACCCUAGGAUAAACUCUAAACCAUGGGGUAAACUCUAAACCCUUGGAUAAAUCCUAAACUUUAAAUAAAAACACUAAACCCUAAAACUCUAAACCCUAAAACUCUAAACCCUAAAUCCUAAACUCUAAACUCUUGAGUGUUUUAGUGUUUACUGAUUUUGAUUUAAAGUUUAAGAUUUAUCCUAGAGUUUAGGGUUUAUUCAAGGGUUUAGGGUUUAGGAUUUAGAGAUUAUAAUUUAGGGUUUAAUGUUUUACUGACGAUGUUAAAAAUAUUUUUUUUUUGUAAUUACUACUAUUUUUUAUUUAUUUAUUUUUAUCUUUUAAUUUAAAAAUAUAAUAUAAUUUGACAAUAUUUUGUUUUCUUUUUUAAAAGAUAUCGAAUAUGAAAUAACACAAUCCUAUUGGUUGGUGAACCCAAAAAUAAGUCAAAAAAAAAUGUGUACAAGCACAAAGACGCCCUCGAUUGGUGGUGUUGGUGAUAGUUUAAGGUUUAGUGUUGAUGAUUGAGGGUUUAGAAUUGAAGUUUAGGGUUUAGGGUUUAGAGUUGAUGUUUUAGGGUUUAGAGUUGAAGGUUUGAGGUUUAGGGUUUUGGUGACUAUCACUAUUGCGUUUGAGGCGGAGCUUUUCGCGUAGAGACUUCCAAGCGGUCUUGUCUCGGUGGCUGCUGUAGUCGUGUCGGUGCUCUCUCUGCAUUACAUCAAGAAGUGUCCGAUUUGAUUGGUUCCUAGACGGCAGAGGCUGCGGCGAGGUUCCGUUUCUGUCGGCCAUUAGAAUAGCUUCGAGAGUCAACCCCGGUAACGAGCUCCGGCCAGUCUCCAUACAAUCUAGUAACGUCACUCUCAGCCUAUCACCACCGUCCAUUUGCAUCAUCUUUUACGGAGUCAAGAGAGAAUAUAGAAUGAGAUUGUGAACUGAAAGACCACGAAAAAUAGCGUUAAAAACAAAAUCGAAGAUUUUCUCGGGAUAAUCAACGAGUGGAAUAAACUUAGUAAUCUCAGCUUCCCUAACUCAGCUAUCUAGGAAACUGAAAUCCAAGCUAAAAGAAUCAGUAUAUCAACCCCUAGAUGAAAUCUUCCCGAGAAAAAAAAAUUUCCAUGAAAAAACAUUCAAAAAUUAAAAUCUUGCUAUUAAAAGAAUGAAUUUUGCUAACCUUUUAAUUCGGACUCAUUUUACUAUUCUCAGCUUCAAAGAAAACCAUAGUUUCCUGAGAAAAUUUCUAGAGUUUCUUAC